CCUAAUGUUAAAAAGUUUUGAAUGUAAAGUUUAGGUCAGAAAUACCUGGGUUUGGUGAUUUAUCAAUUUGGCUACUAUGGCCUAAAAUUAACAGCAAUUCCCAUUUUGAUUAAUUAAUCGUUAUGUAUUUUGAUACUAUGCAGGUUGUGAAGAAUAGCAUCUGGCAAGUUGAGACUACAGGUGAUACAUUUUAAUAAUAAUAAACAGCAAAACAGCAAGCUGUAAAAAUGUGAAAAUAAUUUAUUUGUUAAUAUGUGAACAACAGUACAUUUAUAAUCAGUGCAUAUUCAAUAUCUAAUAUAAAACAUGGGUAACAAUUUAGUGAGUAUCAUCAUUUUCCCUAUAGAAGAGCAGAGAAAAAAAAAAGAAUGAACUCACAAAUAUAUAAAAUAUUUGUAUAUAAUUAGCACCAGAGUUGUAGGUAGAGGUAUGUACAUUAUAGAAUGCUUACAAUAAGCACAUAUCAAAUGUAUAGCAUCUUUGAAAUUAAUAUAAUUUAUACCAAACCUUAUGUAUAGAUACAGUGCAUGAAUAGGGUUAUAUAACUAGAAACACAAAUAAUUAGAAAACAAAAAAAUAAUCAAAUGCUGAACAUUUCAUGUAGAAAUAAUAGAAAUCUGUUGAAAACAUUCAGAAAUACUACAAAAUGUCAUAUUUUUUGGAAAAUCUCUAUGCAGUUUUGUUACACAUUAAAGGCAAAUUAAUUGAAACACAUUAUUUAGUGACCAGAAAACAGUGACUUAACGUAAACAAACCAAAAAACUAAACAAAAAACCAAACCCUGGCCCCCAAAUACUGCUAAUACAACGACCUAUCUCUUUAGACAUCCUGAUUAAACUACUAAGUCUCCUCUGAUUAGCAGAUAGUAAUAUAUCUGCUAAUGGCUAUGGACAAGCAAUGCUUUUAGGUUCAGAAAUGAACCAUAGAUUGAGUGCAAAGCAUAAAACACAUUAUUA